rnacentral:rRNA from 1 species
UUACAUGGGGGGAACCUGAUCCAGCAAUGCCUCGUGUGCGAUGAAGGCCUGCGGGUUGUAAAGCACUUUCGGUGGGGAAGAAAAGCUUAAGUAUAAUACACUUAAGAACUGACGUUACCCACAGAAGAAGCACCGGCUAACUCUGUGCCAGCAGCCGCGGUAAUACAGAGGGUGCAAGCGUUAAUCGGAUUUACUGGGCGUAAAGGGCGUGUAGGCGGAUACUUUAGUCGGUUGUGAAAUCCCCGGGCUUAACCUGGGAAUUGCAGUCGAUACUGGGUGUCUAGAGUAUGGUAGAGGAAAGUGGAAUUCUCGGUGUAGUGGUUAUAUACGUAGAUAUCGAGAGGAACAUCGGUGGCGAAGGCGGCUUUCUGGCCCAAUACUGACGUUGAGGCGCGAAAGCGUGGGGAGCAAACAGGAUUAGACACCCUGGUAGUCCACGCUGUAAACGAUGAGAACUAGAUGUUGGCCGGUUUAUCCGGGCAGUAUCGCAGCUAACGCAUUAAGUUCUCCGCCUGGGGAGUACGGUCGCAAGAUUAAAACUCAAAGGAAUUGACGGGGGCCCGCACAAGCGGUGGAACAUGUGGUUUAAUUCGAUGCUACGCGAAGAACCUUACCUACCCUUGAAAUCCCAAGAAUUUUCUAGAGAUAGAAAAGUGCCUUCGGGAACUUGGAGACAGGUGCUGCAUGGCUGUCGUCAGCUCGUGUCGUGAGAUGUUGGGUUAAGUCCCGUAACGAGCGCAACCCUUAUCUUUAGUUGCCAUCAGUUCGGCUGGGAACUCUAAAGAGACUGCCGGCGUUAAGCCGGAGGAAGGCGAGGACGAUGUCAAGUCAUCAUGGCCCUUAUGGGUAGGGCAACACACGUGUGCAAUGGGGAAUACAGAGGGUCGCCAAAUCGCAAGAUGAGCCAAUCUCAGAAAAUUUCUCGUAGUCAGAUGGAGUCUGCACUCGACUUCAUGAAGUGGAUCGCUAGUAUCCGCGAUCAGAUGUCCGCGGUGAAUACGUUCUUCGGCUGUACACACCGCCGUCAAACAUGGGAGUGAUUGUACAGAGGGGUAGCUACCGCAGGGGGCGCUCACCAGUAUCUCCAUGACUGGUUAAGUCCUUACACAGGUGAUCGUA